AUUUUUUGUUAAUAUACAUGUAAUUUUAUGACUACUGUUUAAUAAUCUCACACUAAUGUAUUGUAAGAAUCCUCUGAAAUUUAUUUAAUGGUACCUUCACCCUGCUGCAUGUUAGAUCAGCUCUGUGUUUUAUUGUUUGAUUUCAGCACUUCUGGGGACCAGUUAUUAAUUGGGGUCUUCCCCUAGUCGCAGUCAGCGAUAUGAGGAAGAGCCCCGACAUCAUCAGCGGUCGAAUGACCUUCGCUCUUACCUGUUACUCAAUGAUAUUUAUGAGGUUCUCAUACCGAGUCCAGCCCCGAAACUGGCUCCUUUUUUCUUGCCACAUGGCCAAUGUGACGGCACAAGUGAUCCAGGGAGGCCGGCUCAUCCGACACAAAAUGCAGAACAAAAAUGCGAAAUGAGCCUUUGCAUGCAGUAGAUCAGAGCACAGACGGGUUCGUGCAGAUAAAGGCAAAUUGAGGAAGAUCUCUACCAGAUCCAUGCAUCAGAUCAAGAGAGCAGCUGCUAAAAUGCCAUUAUGUAGCAGCAAACAGAUAUUUGAAGCUGCUGGUGCCUCUGGAGUCCCAUGGACAUCAAGGUGUAGAGUCCUCCACUGCAACUGUGCAUAAACCUUCUAUUCUGCCGCCACUAACCAGUGCUCACAAGCAGAAACUGUCCAAAUACACAAGUUCAAUGGAUGCAAGACUUGUGAAGCUGCUAUCAAAUAAGGAGUCCUAUGUCAAAAUGUGACGUGACCUGUUUGAUUUCAGUACAUAUGUUGCAAACACAACAAAUGACAAUUUUCAGUUCUUUGCAACUUAUAAAGUGUUUUGCAGCUUACUGUGCAUAAUAAUUUGGAACAGUUCAUUGUAAGUGUUUUGUUUGACAAAAAAAUACUGUAAUCAUUAGAUUUGUUCAAUAAAAUUUGAAUUGCACUCAAUAGUUGACAACAUGAGAAUUAUUCUGA